CAGGAGGUAGUUAAACAUUAUAACAGGGGCUUUGGGAGCAUCAGUUCUUCGUCUUGAAGUGUCCUGA
rnacentral:tRNA from 1 species